CCACAGAAGGUAAUAGUCCUGUAUGUUAAACGAGAAAACUUUAGAUAUGAUCCAGAGUACCACGGGACACGUGAAACCCUGUGGGAAGCAGGAGGGACCACCCUCCAAGGCUAAAUACUACCUAGUGACCGAUAGCGUAUAGUACCGUGAGGGAAAGGUGAAAAGAACCCCGGGAGGGGAGUGAAAUAGAACCUGAAACCCUGCACUUACAAGCUGUGGAAGCACAUUUCUUGUGUGACCGCGUACUUUUUGUAGAACGGGCCAACGAGUUACGUUAAGUAGCAAGGUUAAGCACUUAAGGUGUGGAGC
rnacentral:rRNA from 1 species